GCCCAGACUCCUACGGGAGGCAGCAGUGGGGAAUAUUGCACAAUGGAGGAAACUCUGGCCCAGCAACGCCGCGUGAAUGAUGAAGGUCUUCGGAUUGUAAAGUUCUUUUCUAAGGGAAGAAGAAAGUGACGGUACCUUAGGAAUAAGCCUCGGCUAACUACGUGCCAGCAGCCGCGGUAAUACGUAGGGGGCAAGCGUUAUCCGGAUUUACUGGGUGUAAAGGGAGCGUAGACGGCACUGCAAGUCCGGAGUGAAAGCCCAAGGCUUAACCAUGGGACUGCUCUGGAAACUGUGGAGCUUGAGUGCGGGAGGGGCAGGCGGAAUUCCUAGUGUAGCGGUGAAAUGCGUAGAUAUUAGGAGGAACACCGGCGGCGAAGGCGGCCUGCUGGACCGUAACUGACGUUGAGGCUCGAAAGCGUGGGGAGCAAACAGGAUUAGAUACCCGAGUAG
rnacentral:rRNA from 1 species